rnacentral:sRNA from 1 species
CACUGCGCCAGCGCGGGGCGGCCCAGAGGCGAGGUCGCGUCUCUGCGCCUGCGCGGCGGGAAGCCAGCGGGGCGUUGUUUCGUCCGAUAUUCACGUUUCAGGCUCCGCCCAUACCCCUCCGGGUUAGGCGGCUGUAGCGGAGCUCGAAAAGAGUGGCGCAGGGUCGCGCGGCCCCGCCUCCUUCCCCGCCCAGCGAAGCUCUCUGACCACCCCUCUUUUCUAGAGUUCUGCCUCGCUUCCCGGCGCGGUCGCAGCCCUCAGCCCACUCAGGAUAAUGGCGACAGCUGAGGUACUGAACAUUGGUAAAAAAUUGUAUGAGGGUAAAACAAAAGAAGUCUACGAAUUGUUAGAUAGUCCAGGAAAAGUCCUCCUGCAGUCCAAGGACCAGAUUACAGCAGGAAAUGCAGCUAGAAAAAACCACCUGGAAGGAAAAGCUGCAAUCUCAAAUAAAAUCACCAGUUGUAUUUUUCGGUUAUUACAGGAAGCAGGUA